rnacentral:tRNA from 1 species
GGGGCUGUAGCUCAGUUGGGAGAGCAUCGGCUUUGCAAGCCGAGGGUCACCGGUUCGAACCCGGUCAGCUCCACCC